UCAGUCGACUCCUACGGGGAGGCAGCAGUGGGGGAAUAUUGCACAAUGGGCGCAAGCCUGAUGCAGCCAUGCCGCGUGUGUGAAGAAGGCCUUCGGGUUGUAAAGCACUUUCAGCAGUGAGGAAGGCGGAGUCGUUAAUAGCGGCCUCGUUUGACGUUAGCUGCAGAAGAAGCACCGGCUAACUCCGUGCCAGCAGCCGCGGUAAUACGGAGGGUGCGAGCGUUAAUCGGAAUUACUGGGCGUAAAGCGCAUGCAGGUGGUUUGUUAAGUCAGAUGUGAAAGCCCGGGGCUCAACCUCGGAAUAGCAUUUGAAACUAGGCAGACUAGAGUACUGUAGAGGGGGGUAGGAAUUUCAGGUGUAGCGGUGAAAUGCGUAGAGAUCUGAAGGAAUACCGGUGGCGAAGGCGGCCCCCUGGACAGAUACUGACACUCAGAUGCGAAAGCGUGGGGAGCAAACAGGAUUAGAUACCCUGGUAG
rnacentral:rRNA from 1 species